AAAAUUUUGACUAAAUUAGGUCUCCUUCACCCGUGCCUCAAAGCGUUCGCCGCCGCCGGAGAAAAUCCCCCCCACCCUUCUGUCCGCAAUCUUCCUCUCCCAAAUCUCCAUGGCCCGCCGCGCGCCACCACCCCGCCGUGCCCCUACCGGCCCUGCUUCGCUGCGUCGCCUCUUCUUUCCCUUCUCUACCACAUCGGUGACCAAGGCGGACCAUCUGGCGGUGGGCACGAUGUCCUCGCGCGGAUCUGACUGCCGCCACCACCGUCGCCUCCUCAACGCCACCUCGACCUCGAGCUCCUCCUCGACGCGGUUGUUCCCGACGAGCUCCUCCCUGACGGCCCCCUCCUCUCUUGCACCUCGAGCACUACGGCGAGGACAACGGCAUCCACCUCGCCGCUAGAUCAAGAUCGCAUCCACCACCUCGACUUCUCUCCAAAGGUUGACCAUGCUAGCAGUGGCAGAGCUUGAAAGAAAUCUAAGGAGGGGCAAAGAUAAAACAAAAAAUCAAAUACAAAAUCAUACGACUGUAAGGGAUGCAAGCGGACAGCGUCUGCAUAUCCGCGAAGCAAAAAUUGCACUAUCUUUGUUACUUUAACAACCAUGUUAGUUUUUCUGUUCGCAGAUGCUCACGAACGCCGUCCACUUAAACAAGUUAGAUUUUGCAGAAUAUUGAGAACAUAGAUAAUUACAUUGAUCUUAUCCACAUUAGAUUACAAAAUACAUUUCUAACAUUAAUUAUAUAUAAGCUACUUUGUAACAAAUGAAACUGAACCAAAAUACUAAUUAAAGAUGAGCACUGAGUUAAUCACUAAAGAUCAGCUCUUUGUUUCCUUCCGCUCCUAAAUUGCCUAAGAAAUUCUUGGCUGUGAUUUUACUCUCUGUGCUUAACUACCUUUUUGCUAUGACUUGGAAUGAUAUCCUUGGUAGUCGUCUCUCCUGCACUACCUUUUUGUUAACCUAAAACAUAUUUCCUGACUGAAUGUUUUCGUGAUUUAAAGGUACCAAGGAUUGUUUAGAGACUACAUUGUUGUUUUCUAGCUUGGAGAAGCAACAUCAACUUGGGAUGCAGAUUCACCAGUAUAUGUACAUGCUCUUGCACGGGUAUCCUUGAAACGAGCCAAGAACCACUAAAUUUGUGUGCUCAGGAACAUGCAGAUCAUGACCAUAAUGUCACUUUGGAUGCUUCUCCCCAAGAUUUGAAUCUGGAGCCUGACGCAGGUGUUGCAGGGACGGUUGGAUUUUUAUUGAUAAUGCGCAUUUGGAACUAACUCACUCAGCUUUGUCUCUCCUGGGAAGGCAACCUCUUGAGAGUUAAUGAUUUUGGGUACAUGUAUAGAUAGCAUGUUGUAACAAGUAUUUUUGAUACUCAGCGUGACCAACAUUGCUUGUACAUAUUGGUCAAGGUGUUCUACUUGCAAUAACUAACUUCAGCUAUAGGCUAUUUUUUUGAAUUUGGCUUUAAGUUGACCAUGUAUCUGAUGUAUGUGUUCAUUCAUUAUGAAUUUGAUGUGUAUGAUGAA